CAGAGGCAGCAGUGCAGCAGUGGGCACCACUGAGCAUCUAAGCACAGUUGCUGCAGGGAUCCACCUUGUACCUAAGCAUAUGUGUAUUCUCACUAGAUGACUUCUAUCAUGCUCAGCCAGAAUGAGAAGCAGUUUGAGGACACUAAUGCUGUGCGUGUUCAUGUGAAUGCUCCGCUUCUCUCUGUACUCUGUGUGAUUGACCAGUAGAUAUGCAUAUAAAUGUUGUAUACGUGUGUUUGUGUAUGUGCACCUAAUAGUAAGCAUGAUCAGCUUUGCUACUGGUUGGGCAUGGAGCUGUAUCACCUCUACACAUUCAGACUUAAUUUCCACUUGUGUGUAUUGCUGUCACAGAGUUACCUAGAUAGAUCUGUGCCCGUGACAGGGGGCAGUAGGCUUGUGGGCCCCUCUCCCCCCUGGCUUCCAGAGAAAAAUGAAGCGGCGGCAACGAUCUAAGAAGGAGAACUUAUUUUACUAACUAUGAUGUUGGGAUGCAAGAUGACACGAUAUAAUACAAUCUAAUUGGGAGUAAGGAUAAUAAACCAAAUGAAAUGAGGGAGAGAGCGAAAGAGCGAUAGAGAGGGAGAGAGAGAGAGAGUGAGAGAGUUUCCGAAACCGAAAGCCUUACUUGAUGAAGGUGCCCGGCUUGGAAAGCACACCCACUCCUCUCCUGGCAGCAAGCGAAAGUGAAGAAAAACCGCACGCAACCAGAUGACGUAUCUUCCGUGAUGUGUCUUCCUUCUCUGACCGUGAGAGCCAAUCAGUCUCACCUCCAUCUGGCCAGUCAGCCUCACCUCUGUCCCUGGAAAGGUGAGAGAACAACUUCUAUGCAGUGAUUCAUCAAAUGAUUUCCAGAAGAAACUAUGACAUUAUCCUACAAUAACCGGCCUCUGUGUCACUCUUACUUGGGACAAAUUCUACAAACAGCUUUGUCUUGCUCCCAUGUCAGCAUUUCUCUGAGUUGUUUAUAACCCUGAAGCCUGGGCUGUGUGUCCUGUCUCCUACCAUGCCAUCCAUGCUUGUACUUCUGCUUCUACAGUCACAGUGUACAAGUAUAAGUAAAAAUAAAACAGAAUAUAGCACCACUCACUAGAAAAGCAGAUGUUAUAUAAAAAAAAAAAAAUAAAAAAAAAAGUCCAGGCAAGCUGAUGCAAGUGACAUGAAGUAAACCUUGCAAACACUAAUCCUGAGGCUCUGAGAGUAAGUACACAACUACAGUCUGUUACUACCAAUGACGUUCCUGUGCAUACUGGGCUACUGGGGUAAAAAGUCCUAUGCAAACAUAAAUUACAAACCAUACCUGAUAGUAUUCAAGGUAAAAUCAAUUUCAAAGUUAACAAAGGAGACAGAAAACCUGGAAACACUGAACAACAGUGCUCAUGGACCAACCCUGGAGACCCUCAUGGAGAGAGUCGAACUACUGGCAAUUGGGAAUAUGAUGAUUUACUGUGAUGCCCUGCUGUACUUUUAUAACUAUUGUAUUCCGAUUCAUAUUGUAAUGGCACUGAGUAUAAAUUCUAGACAUCUCACAUAAAGUAUGUUCUUUUCAUGCAUUUAAUGAUGUUUUGAGUGCAACACUCAUUUUUUCAAACAAGAAAAAGAAAAUAUUGAUCAUUUAUUUGACUGGAUUUUUUCAGUGAUUAUUCUAUCAUUUUUAGUGCUUACUACAUCAAAAACCUUUUGCAGCAUCUUUCUAAGUCUGCAAUAAUAAGUAAGAUUUAAUCAUAAUCUACUACUUCCAAGUAAGAAUUAGUAUUCAUCAGCUGUUGGGACCUAGUUUUUGACACUUUGAAUUCAACCAUCUAGAGAACACAACCAAUCUCUGAAUUCAGCUCUGUAUUUGUGCUCUGUCUUAUUAUAAACUAAGUUGAAUUAUAUAUUUUAUAUGUAUCCUACUGUACAGUGUGGAAGUCAGAAAUGAUGCCUUCUUAAGGAAUUAUUUUCAGUUGAUUUUGUCAUGUUUGCCUUCAUAAGAAGAAAUAUAAUCAGCAAAUUAAUUGAGAGAUGUCCAAAAUAAAAUAUUUUUAAAUUUGUGCAUUGUCUGAUUACACCUUGAAAGUCUAAAGCAAGGAAGAUCAAAUACAAACACCAGAGGCCACAGAAUAACACUAGUAAGAGACAAUUACUACAUCAAGAGACAGCAUUGAUUAUUACAUUUGCCUUCACUUUUAUAAAUUAGUCUCCUUCAUUUUAUAUAUAUUUAUCUUACGUACAAAAAAGUGAAAUGGAAAAUUAAGAUUGAAUACAACUGUCUGUGGAGAAGGUUGGGCAGAGAGGUUGUAAACUUUUCCUCCAUGGAAGAUUUCUAGGCCAGGCCUGGGCUGUUUGAUCUGAUCCUGUGGCUGGUCCUGUCCUGCGAAUGAGGAUGUGCUGGAUAUCUCCAGAGGUCCUUUCCAGUCCCAGCAGGAAACAUACUGGAGCAAGGCAGGCUACUGGGCAAGAAGGGAAAACAGAUUUCAGUCUCUCUGUCAUCAUGUGGGCAGAUGCUUAUUGUGUGGUGGUUCUCUUUAGCCUAUACAUGAUAUAUCAGUUCAGUCUGUAACCUCCUUGAAACAUGGAAUGUGCCUGUUGCCAUUGCACAUCUCCUAGUUUGAUGGGACUAAGAAGCAGGGACUAUUACAAACCAAAUGAAUACAAUACAUUGUUAAGCAGAUAUUAAAUGACUAUUUGGGGAAUAAAUGUUUUUGCAUUGUGAUUCAUAGCAAAUUCUGCCUGUACAAAGUUGUGGUUAUUCCCUCCCAGUUGUAGGACUGUACAUUUGAUCUCGUUGAACCUCAUAAUGUUCCUCUCUACCCAACACUCACCUUGUCCAGGUCCCACUGAAUGGUAUCACAGCCUUCUGGCAUGUUGGACGUUCUUCCCAACUUUGCAUCAUCAGCAAAUUUGCUGAGGGUGCACUCUAUCUUUUCAUCCAGGUCAUUGAUGAAUAUUGUUGAUGUUGUAAUUCAUAAACAAUAUUAUACAUGUGACACAUACAAACUUCCCUCUUUUAGUUUGGAAACGGUUUGACUCUCGUUCAUGGACUGGUAUACUGGCUUUGUAUUCCUGCAGUGCCUGAUUGUUAUCAAAAGAUUUAGAUUGCUUUAUCUCUUAUUUCCACCUAUAUAAACCUUUAUGCUUCUUUUCUUUUUGUCUGCUGGCUGUUACACAGUGCUCAAUGAUGGUACUCUGGUAGGUUAUUUGAUGUAUAGCAGGUGGUUUGGUUUCCAGGUUGUACUUUUGAGUCUGCUUUUCAAUAGUUAUUCACCAUUAAAUGCAACUGAAUAAGA
rnacentral:lncRNA from 1 species